UAGAGUAUUAAACAAAUAGAACAACUGUUCAUGAAAGCAGACUGUGAAGCACUGGGCAGAAUUCAGUGGGGGUGGCUUCCGCACGUAUCUGCAGCUAGAGUAUUUGGAGCGAGCUAAUGCUUUGGCCCGACAGAAAGAGGUUUCCUUCCUGCUGCCUGCUGCGCUGCGGAGGCUGUCAUAUGGGGGUCCCGUGCUGCGCAUUCUCUCUAUGCCUGACGACACCUUAAUCAUGAUCAGAGAAGAUGGAGCUAUUUAUUUCUGGUCCCUGCAGCUGAAGUUGAAAAGAAGAAAGCGGGUCUUUGACAAGUCCACCAGCCAGAACCCCAGGUGGAUGACAGAUGUCAUCUGCAUGCUACACUGCAAUAAACUGAUCAUUGGGA
rnacentral:lncRNA from 1 species